AAGUCGUAACAAGGUAUCCGUAGGUGAACCUGCGGAUGGAUCAUUAACACUAAAAAACAAAACCUUGCUUUCCUAAAAACAAAGCAUAACCCCAUAAUUUGCGAACUUGUCAACGGGGGAGGGGAGAGGAGGAAGCAAUUUCUCCACCCCUUUUCCGUUCGUUUUUCUCCUUUUUCACCUUAUUAUUAAACCCCAAAACAAAAACAACAAACAAAACUUGACUAAGACAAAAACAAAUGAGAAAACAAAAUAAUACAACUUUUAACGACGGAUAUCUUGGCUCUC
rnacentral:misc_RNA from 1 species